CGGCGAAUUAGCUCACUGGGAAGCGCCCGCUUUCGGAGCGGGAAAUCGCGGGUUCGACUCCCGCAUUCUUGU
rnacentral:tRNA from 1 species